rnacentral:rRNA from 1 species
GGGGAAUUUUGGACAAUGGGCGCAAGCCUGAUCCAGCAAUGCCGCGUGCAGGAUGAAGGCCUUCGGGUUGUAAACUGCUUUUGUACGGAACGAAAAGGCUCUGGUUAAUACCUGGGGCUCAUGACGGUACCGUAAGAAUAAGCACCGGCUAACUACGUGCCAGCAGCCGCGGUAAUACGUAGGGUGCAAGCGUUAAUCGGAAUUACUGGGCGUAAAGCGUGCGCAGGCGGUUAUAUAAGUCAGAUGUGAAAUCCCCGGGCUCAACCUGGGACCUGCAUUUGAGACUGUAUAGCUAGAGUACGGUAGAGGGGGAUGGAAUUCCGCGUGUAGCAGUGAAAUGCGUAGAUAUGCGGAGGAACACCGAUGGCGAAGGCAAUCCCCUGGACCUGUACUGACGCUCAUGCACGAAAGCGUGGGGAGCAAAC